AUACAGAGGGUGCGAGCGUUAAUCGGAAUCACUGGGCGUAAAGCGCGCGCAGGCGGCUUGAUAAGUUGGAUGUGAAAGCCUACGGCUCAACCGUAGAACUGCAUCCAAAACUGUCAAGCUAGAGUCUGGGAGGGGGAGAUGGAAUUAGUUGUGUAGGGGUAAAAUCCGUAGAGAUAACUAGGAAUACCAAAAGCGAAGGCGAUCUUCUGGAACAGUACUGACGCUGAGGCGCGAAAGCGUGGGGAGCAAACAGGAUUAGAAACCCUAGUAGUCC
rnacentral:rRNA from 1 species